GACAGAGGGGGCAAGCGUUGCUCGGAAUCACUGGGCGUAAAGGGCGCGUAGGCGGGAAGCCAAGUCGGUCGUGAAAUCUCCCGGCUCAACUGGGAGGGUGCGCCGAAUACUGAAUGACUAGAGUGCGGGAGAGGAAAGUGGAAUUCCUGGUGUAGCGGUGAAAUGCGUAGAUAAUCAGGAGGAAUACCGGUGGCGAAGGCGGGUCUCUGGGCCGAUACUGACGCUGAGGAGCGAAAGCGUGGGGAGCGAACAGG
rnacentral:rRNA from 1 species